rnacentral:rRNA from 1 species
GUGGGGAAUCUUCCGCAAUGGACGAAAGUCUGACGGAGCAACGCCGCGUGAGUGAAGAAGGUUUUCGGAUCGUAAAGCUCUUUCGUUAGGGACGAACGUGCUCUUUGUGAAUAAUGAGGAGUAAUGACGGUACCUAAAUAAGAAGCCACGGCUAACUACGUGCCAGCAGCCGCGGUAAUACCUAGGUGGCAAGCGUUGUCCGGAAUUAUUGGGCGUAAAGCGCGCGCAGGCGGGAUAUCAAGUCUGUCUUAAAAGUGCGAGGCUCAACCUCGUGAGGGGACAGAAACUGGUAUUCUUGAGUGUCGGAGAGGAAAGUGGAAUUCCAAGUGUAGCGGUGAAAUGCGUAGAGAUUUGGAAGAACACCAGUGGCGAAGGCGACUUUCUGGACGAUGUCUGACGCUGAGGCGCGAAAGCUAGGGGAGCGAACGGGAUUAGAUACCCGGGUAGUCC